rnacentral:rRNA from 1 species
AGAGUUUGAUCAUGGCUCAGAACGAACGCUGGCGGCAGGCCUAACACAUGCAAGUCGAGCGCGCCUUCGGGUGAGCGGCGGACGGGUUAGUAACGCGUGGGAACGUGCCCUUCUCUACGGAAUAGCCUCUGGAAACGGAGAGUAAUACCGUAUACGCCCUUUGGGGGAAAGAUUUAUCGGAGAAGGAUCGGCCCGCGUUAGAUUAGGUAGUUGGUGGGGUAACGGCCUACCAAGCCUACGAUCUAUAGCUGGUUUUAGAGGAUGAUCAGCAACACUGGGACUGAGACACGGCCCAGACUCCUACGGGAGGCAGCAGUGGGGAAUCUUAGACAAUGGGGGCAACCCUGAUCUAGCCAUGCCGCGUGAGUGAUGAAGGCCUUAGGGUCGUAAAGCUCUUUCGCCUGUGAUGAUAAUGACAGUAGCAGGUAAAGAGACCCCGGCUAACUCCGUGCCAGCAGCCGCGGUAAUACGGAGGGGGUUAGCGUUGUUCGGAAUUACUGGGCGUAAAGCGCGCGUAGGCGGAUUAGAAGGUUGGGGGUGAAAUCCCGGGGCUCAACCCCGGAACUGCCUCCAAAACUACUAGUCUAGAGUUCGAGAGAGGUGAGUGGAAUUCCGAGUGUAGAGGUGAAAUUCGUAGAUAUUCGGAGGAACACCAGUGGCGAAGGCGGCUCACUGGCUCGAUACUGACGCUGAGGUGCGAAAGUGUGGGGAGCAAACAGGAUUAGAUACCCUGGUAGUCCACACCGUAAAC